GAAAAGGUGAUUUGUCCCAAAUAAAAUUUGAAUACAUAUGACCAAUGCUGCAAAUUAUAUUCAUGUAGAUGUCAAGUCACUUGUCCUCCUUACCAAGGGUUGGAUGAAAAUAACCUGCCCACUUUCAAAUCAAAGGAACAAUUCAACCUGUCUGGCCACACAAGGCCUACCUCGCUGAAGAAACACCCUGGCAGUUGCAGUCUUAAUGCCCCACAUUAUUUGCAUAAAUGGGUCACGAGACUUCCCUGCUUUGCAUGGUGGGAAUAUUUCCUGUUUGCCUCAGAACAGGUUUGUGCUGUGGCUGACGAAAAAGGUCUAAGAAAAGAGUUGACAGACACUUUUCCUCAGUGACAAAAUGGACUCUUUUAAAGGACCUUGUCCUCAUCAGAGCGUUCCAGUUGAAAUGGAUGAGAGCAUGACAUCCUCCAGUCUGGACAUGGUCUUGCCUCCCCCAUGCAAACAGUGUAUUGGGGACACAGAGAUCAGCAAAAGGCUGCAGGAAUACGACUGUGAGCAAUCCAAGGGGGCAGUGCGCGAUGCCGGCCAGUGGGGAGUCCCUGAGGGCCAGCACAAACCCAGAGCAGCCUGUUAUCCUGUCGCCCAUCCUCGUUUCAUCCCCCCUUCACACUUAGGACAGAUGAACCCCCCCUACCCUGCAGGUCUCAGAGAGCAGGAGCUGCUGUAUGAACAGGAUCUCAGAGUCAACAAUAGUAGAGGUUUUGCACACCCUUCAAACUAUCCCCAGGAUCGCUCUGUGGAGGAGACGGAAAGCUUGGAGCUCCCUCACACACUCGUGUCUCUUAACUACAACCAGUGUGUCCCAUCUCGAUACCCUGCACCACGUAUGCCCGGCCACAAUCCAAUGCCGGGGAGUUUUCCCGGACAGUGUGCAUGCUGCCUUCCAGCAAAUCUGCCCCAUCUCGAUAAUAAUUAUCGUCAUUAUAAAUAUGAUUACCCAGCGGAUCCUCACCAGGAGCCUCAAUACCGCCAACAGUCAUGGAACCCCCCUAAUAACAGGCUGCAACAUAAACAGGCUCCAAAUGCCCCCCAAGGAUCUGCACCUCGGCUUGUGGCCCCUCAUAGAGAUUUGAUGCAUGAGGUCAGCGUGGAUCGCUCCUUCCAGGCUGGUCCAGGACCAGCCACGAGGGAGAUCAGGAGGACCAUCUCCCUGUCUAAGGAGUGUAGGAAUGUUUUCAUCACAUAUUCAUUGGACACGGCAGAUGAAAUGCUUACUUUCGCCAAAUUUCUGACCGAUCAGGGAUUCGAAGCAGCAAUCGACAUCUUUGAUAAUCCAGUCCGGAGAAUGGGCAUCACCAAAUGGAUGGACAGAUUUUUGAAUGAUAAAUCAGUGCUCAUCAUUGUGGUGAUUAGCCCCAAGUACAAGGAAGACGUGGAGGGAGACGGAGACGAUGAGCACGGCCUGCACACAAAGUACAUUCACAAUCAGAUCCAAAAUGAGUUCAUCCAGCAAGGCUGCCUGAACUUCAGACUGGUGCCUGUGUUGUUUCCUAAUGCAACCAAGGCACAUAUUCCCAACUGGCUCCGGAGCACCAGGAUCUACCGCUGGCCCCAAGACACCCAGGAGCUGCUGCUGCGCCUGUAUAGGGAGGAGCGCUACAUCAUCCCACAGCGAGGGGGGGACCUCACUCUCACCAUUCGUCCCCUCUGAGACAAACCGAAAAGGACAAACACUUGUGGAAACUAAUCAGCAAAAUGGUUUCUUGCAGUAGGUACGACUCGAUGAGGACUGUUAUCACUGCAGCAGAUAGGUUGUUAAGCGUUUUCCUUCUGUCGAUUGUUUUUAGAUACAGACACAGAUCUGUUGAUUUAUAAUUCAUUUUAACAGUGUUUCUGAUCUCACUGUAUACUCUGAAUAUCACUCAGUCUUCUUCUUUGAUGAUAACAUUUGAAAUGACACAGAACAUUAAAAUCGCAUCAGGAACACUAAGCUGAAGCCUGGUGUGUGUUUAUAGACGUUUACAGUGUUUAACUAGAAUGAAUUAAUAGUUUGAUACAUUUAAAAAAGCAGUUUUUAACUGUUUUAAUUUGCUCUGAUAGCGCUGAUGGGCCAGCUGUUGGCAGGAGUUGUGUAUAGGGUCUGGCCAAUCAGUGUGCCAGCUGCUGUUCCGUGGGAUGGAUGUUGGAAUUUUUAAGGUAUAUUUCUCAUACUAUACUACUAUGAAAUUAAAGCUAAAUCAUUAGAUUUUUUUCUCUGGGCUUUAAAACCAACAUUAAAGGACCAGUGCGUAGGAUUUAGUGGCAUUUAGUUGUGAAGACCUAUUAAUGAGAAUGGGCUGUGAAGAGUGUAGGAGAAUGUACAGUGGCUCCACGAUUCUCAGCUCAUUCUAAGGUGACAAACACAAAGAUUCUUAUAUUCAGGUGAUUAUACACUAAUGAAAACAUAGCUAUGAAUAUUAUAUUCUAUUUCUGACAACACAUCCUCCUAAAUGUUACACACUGGACCUUUAACAUGAUAGAUGGAUAGAUACUUUAUUUAUCCCGAGCGAAAUCCAAGUUUCUUUGAGUUAAGUUUUGUGUUUUAAGGGUUUAACUUUAAGUUUUCUUUAAGGGUGUAUUUGGAACCACCUGCCACAUAUUUGCAAAAGAACUCUGUUUUCAAAAUCUUUUGAGUGUUUGUUGUGAUCUUUCCAGCACUUUUCAUUGUGGCAAGGGGGGGGGGAGGCUGGUUUGGUGCGACUGGAGAUUUUUUCAAAAUUAGUACAUCAGGGUAUUUUUGACAUGCGACAGAUUUUACUUUUGUUUGUAUACUGCUUACUAAUCACUACAUUUUGGCCAAAUCAGUACUUGCUGAGCUGAGAGGAACCACAGUGUCAGUCAUUUAACUCAUUGUUAUUAUGAAAAUAUUGAUUAGUGCAGCUAAUAAGCAGGGGACCAUUGGAGAAUACAUUGUGAAAUGGAGUACAACUGGCAGCCCAUUAGUAAAUGGAAUUUAAAAAAUAACAUUUAAAACCUUUUAAUUUUACAAUUCCACUUUAUAAUGUAUUUUUUAAACUCAUCAUUACAGACAGAAUAAGCAAGUAAACAAGACUAGAUUGUGGCUAGACUUUGUGUGGUCAAUAUCCUGUAUUGUGGCAAAAAUGUUACAUGGGUGUCUAUAAUGGAAAUUCCUGGUUAUUAAAUGUUCAUCAAUGACAUUUUCUGUAGUGGUCCAGUAACAAAGUGUAAUGAAGUAGCCGAUCUCACGACAUGAUUAAGCUACAUUUGAGUCAAAAAUGUUAUAAAUGCAGUUGCAAGAACAAAACAUUCCACUCAUAUCAUAAGGUGUUUGAUUUGAAAGAACUUAGAUCGAAGGAAAUGACACCCAGUGAAUGGUAAUUUGUCAGUGUAUAUAUACAGUUUAUACAAGGUGAAGGGUAUGAGCAUGAGAUACAGUAUGUAAAGUGUUUUUCUGUUUUUUAUUGGAGUUAGUUUUUUUUAUUUUAUGUAUUAAAGAAUACAUUAUAAUUGGUGUGUAGCAAUAUGUACAGUAGGAUGAUUAAUAAUGGUAUAGGUUAUUGAUGAGGUUAUUGAUUAAAGAUGAUAUGUUUGUCUACAGCUCAAUCGUGUGUGUCAUCUGAGAAGCAUGGUGUCUAUUCCUCCCUCAGUAGGUCAGCAGUGCCCUUGGACAGGGUCACACAUCUUAGUGUUCGCAGUUGGUGUGUGUUUGUACUGUGUACUGGACGGAGGAGAGGGCAAAUUCAUUUUGAAAGAGCAACAGCCAAUGGGGAACCUCCAACACUCCACCGACCAAUGGCACUCAGUAAGUCAGGGACAGACUGGUGUUUCUAGGACUGGCCUCACUUUGCUGUGGUCCAGCCAAGAACUGUCAAAGUUAAUUGAUUGAUGAUCAUUUAGACAUACAGUAUGUCAUUUCUGUCACUAGGGGAUCUCUCCAAAAAGACAAAGUUGAAUGACAUUGUGAAGUAGCAUGGGAUCAUGGGAGUUGUUGUCUUCACAACCAUUGCCGUCACUGCAGACAGCUUCUCCCGGUUAGGAUUCCUUCAGUGUUCAUGGUUCAAGAUGUUUUUACCGGGAGCUCUAAAACACUGAAUAAAGCAGUUCCACCUUAAAAAUCCCUGUUUCUC
rnacentral:lncRNA from 1 species